UACGUAGGGGGCAAGCGUUGUCCGGAUUUAUUGGGCGUAAAGAGCGUGUAGGCGGCUUUGCAAGUCCGUUGUGAAAACUCGAGGCUCAACCUCGAGACGCCGGUGGAAACUGCAAAGCUAGAGUCCGGAAGAGGAGAGUGGAAUUCCCGGUGUAGUGGUGAAAUGCGUAGAUAUCGGGAGGAACACCAGUGGCGAAGGCGACUACCUGGCCUGUUCUUGACGCUGAGGCGCGAAAGCUAGGGGAGCAAACGGG
rnacentral:rRNA from 1 species